rnacentral:tRNA from 1 species
UCCCCAGUGACUCAGUGGUAAAGAAUCUGCCUGCAAUGCAGGAGAUCUAGAUUCAAUUCCUGGGUUGGGAA